UACGUAGGAUCCAAGCGUUGUCCGGAUUUACUGGGUGUAAAGGGUGCGCAGGCGGACUGGUUAGUCUGGGGUGAAAUCUCAUCGCUUAACGGUGAAACUGCCUUAGAUACUGCCAGUCUUGAAUCAGCGAGAGGUUCGUGGAAUUCCGAGUGUAGCAGUGAAAUGUGUAGAUAUUCGGAAGAACACCAGUGGCGAAGGCAGCGAACUGGCGCUCGAUUGACGCUCAGGCACGAAAGCAUGGGGAUCAAGCAGG
rnacentral:rRNA from 1 species